rnacentral:lncRNA from 1 species
CUCCCCCAGCUGCAGAUGCAUCACGGGGCCGUGUUUCUGCGCUUGCCGCUGCAGUGCCCUGUGAGGAAGAUCUCCGACUAGGAGGUGGAGGUGGCCGAUCACCGGCAGCUUUCGCGGGCUCGGAGGCAGGUUUUGGUGAGGUUUUGGGGAUUUUAGGGUUGGUCCAUGCCUUGAGCAGGAAGAAGAUGAAGGAUGAAAGGAGCAGGAGAGUGGUUGUGAUGUUGAAGGGGAGAUCAAUCUCCAUUUCUGAUGAAUAUAUGUUAUUGUAUGAUGAUGAGUAUGUGUUUGAUGAAUUGCAUGUGUAUUUAUAGUGAAGAAUAUUUGAAGCUGCAGUGUAUGAGUNUGCCUUGUGAGGCAGAUCUCCGACUAGGAGGUGGAUGUGGCCGAUCACCGGCAGCUUCGGCGGGCUCGGGGGCAGGUUUUGGUGGGCUUUGGGGGAUUUAGGUUUGGUCCAUGCCUUGAGUAGGAAGAAGAUGAAGGAUGAAAGGAGCAGGAGA